CCUACGGGUGGCAGCAGUGGGGAAUAUUGGGCAAUGGGCGCAAGCCUGACCCAGCAACGCCGCGUGAAGGAAGAAGGCUUUCGGGUUGUAAACUUCUUUUCUGAGGGACGAAGAAAGUGACGGUACCUCAGGACUAAGCCACGGCUAACUACGUGCCAGCAGCCGCGGUAAUAAGUAGGUGGCAAGCGUUAUCCGGAUUUAUUGGGUGUAAAGGGCGUGUAGGCGGGAAAGCAAGUCAGAUGUGAAAACUCAGGGCUCAACCCUGAGCCUGCAUUUGAAACUGUUUUUCUUGAGUGCUGGAGAGGCAAUCGGAAUUCCUGGUGUAGCGGUGAAAUGCGUAGAUAUCAGGAGGAACACCGGUGGCGAAGGCGGCCUGCUGGACUGCAACUGACGUUGAGGCCCGAAAGCGUGGGGAGCAAACAGGAUUAGAUGCCCUGGUAGUC
rnacentral:rRNA from 1 species